rnacentral:rRNA from 1 species
GAUGAACGCUGGCGGCGUGCCUAAUACAUGCAAGUCGAGCGAACCACUUCGGUGGUGAGCGGCGAACGGGUGAGUAACACGUAGGUGAUCUGCCCAUCAGACGGGGACAACGAUUGGAAACGAUCGCUAAUACCGGAUAGGACGAAAGUUUAAAGGUGCUUCUGGCACCGCUGAUGGAUGAGCCUGCGGCGCAUUAGCUAGUUGGUAGGGUAAAGGCCUACCAAGGCGACGAUGCGUAGCCGACCUGAGAGGGUGAACGGCCACACUGGGACUGAGACACGGCCCAGACUCCUACGGGAGGCAGCAGUAGGGAAUCUUCGGCAAUGGGCGAAAGCCUGACCGAGCAACGCCGCGUGAAUGAUGAAGGCCUUCGGUUGUAAAUUCUGUUAUAAGGAAGAACGACUUAGUAGGAAAUGGCUAGAGUGUGACGGUACCUUAUGAGAAAGACCACGGCUAACUAACGUG